rnacentral:rRNA from 1 species
UACGGAGGGUGCAAGCGUUAUCCGGAUUUAUUGGGUUUAAAGGGUCCGCAGGCGGACUAGUAAGUCAGGGGUGAAAUCCGGCAGCUCAACUGUCGAACUGCCUUUGAAACUGCUGGUCUUGAGUGAGAAUGAAGCAGCUGGAAUGUGUGGUGUAGCGGUGAAAUGCAUAGAUAUCACGAGGAACUCCGAUUGCGCAGGCAGCUUACUAAGCUACUACUGACGCUCAGGCACGAAGGCGUGGGGAUCAAACA